GACGAACGCUGGCGGCGUGCUUAACACAUGCAAGUCGAACGGAAAGGCCCUGCUUUUGUGGGGUGCUCGAGUGGCGAACGGGUGAGUAACACGUGAGUAACCUGCCCUUGACUUUGGGAUAACUUCAGGUAACUGGGGCUAAUACCGGAUAGGAGCUCCUGUUGCAUGGUGGGGGUUGGAAAGUUUCGGCGGUUGGGGAUGGACUCGCGGCUUAUCAGCUUGUUGGUGGGGUAGUGGCUUACCAAGGCUUUGACGGGUAGCCGGCCUGAGAGGGUGACCGGCCACAUUGGGACUGCGAUACGGACCAGACUCCUACGGGAGGCAGCAGUGGGGAAUAUUGCACAAUGGGCGGAAGCCUGAUGCAGCAACGCCGCGUUCGGGAUGACGGCCUUCGGGUUGUAAACCGCUUUCGCCUGUGACGAAGCGUGAGUGACGGUAAUGGGUGAAGAAGCACCGGCUAACUACGUG
rnacentral:rRNA from 1 species